CCCUACGGGGUGCAGCAGGCGAGAAAACUUUGCAAUGUGCGAAAGCACGACAAGGUUAAUCCGAGUGGUUUCUGCUAAAGGAACCUUUUGUCAGUCCUAGAAACACUGGUGAAUAAGGGGUGGGCAAGUUCUGGUGUCAGCCGCCGCGGUAAAACCAGCACCUCAAGUGGUCAGGAUGAUUAUUGGGCCUAAAGCAUCCGUAGCCUGCUUUGUUAGUUUUCGGUUAAAUCCAUACGCUUAACGUAUGGGCUGCCGGGAAUACUGCAAAGCUAGGGAGUGGGAGAGGUAGACGGUACUCGGUAGGAAGGGGUAAAAUCCUUUGAUCUAUUGAUGACCACCUGUGGCGAAGGCGGUCUACCGGAACACGUCCGACGGUGAGGGAUGAAAGCUGGGGGAGCAAACCGGAUUAGAUACCCGGGUAGUCCCAGCUGUAAACUAUGCAAACUCGGUGAUGCAUUGGCUUGAUGCCAAUGCAGUGCCGCAGGGAAGCCGUUAAGUUUGCCGCCUGGGAAGUACGUACGCAAGUAUGAAACUUAAAGGAAUUGGCGGGGGAGCACCACAAGGGGUGAAGCCUGCGGUUCAAUUGGAGUCAACGCCAGAAAUCUUACCCGGAGAGACAGCAGAAUGAAAGUCAGCUGAGACUUUACCAGACAGCUGAGAAGUGGUGCAUGGCAAGGCGAUU
rnacentral:rRNA from 1 species